GGCCAGACUCCUACGGGAGGCAGCAGUGGGGAAUAUUGGACAAUGGGGGAAACCCUGAUCCAGCGACGCCGCGUGAGUGAAGAAGUAUUUCGGUACGUAAAGCUCUAUCAGCAGGAAAGAAAAUGACGGUACCUGACUAAGAAGCCCCGGCUAACUACGUGCCAGCAGCCGCGGUAAUACGUAGGGGGCAAGCGUUAUCCGGAUUUACUGGGUGUAAAGGGAGCGUAGACGGCAGAUCAAGUCUGGAGUGAAAUCCCGGGGCUCAACCCCGGAGCUGCUCUGGAAACUGAGAAGCUAGAGUACUGGAGAGGCAGGCGGAAUUCCUAGUGUAGCGGUGAAAUGCGUAGAUAUUAGGAGGAACACCAGUGGCGAAGGCGGCUUACUGGACUGUAACUGACGUUGAGGCUCGAACGCGUGGGGAGCAAACAGGAUUAGAUACCCCAGUAC
rnacentral:rRNA from 1 species